GACGAACGCUGGCGGCGUGCUUAACACAUGCAAGUCGAACGAAAAGAGGGAAAGAGCUUGCUCUUUCCGGAAUUGAGUGGCAAACGGGUGAGUAACACGUAAACAACCUGCCUUCAGGAUGGGGACAACAGACGGAAACGACUGCUAAUACCGAAUAAGUUCCAAGAACCGCUUGGCCCAUGGAAGCAAAGGUGGCGUCUACCUGUAAGCUAUCGCCUGCAGAGGGGUUUGCGUCUGAUUAGCUGGUUGGAGGGGGAACGGCCGCACAAAGCGACGAACAGGUGGCGGUCGGAGAGGAGGGACGGCCACACUGGGAACGGGACACGGUCCAGGCCUCCUCGGGGGGCAGCCGUGGGGGAUCUUCCGCAAUGGGCGAAAGCCUGACCGGGCAACGCCGGGGGGGGGAUGACGGCUUUCGGGUUGGAAAACUCCGUGUUCCGGGACGAAAAGGCAGAGUGCGAAGAACAACCUGCAUUGACGGUACCGGAAAAGCAAGCCACGGCUAACUACGUG
rnacentral:rRNA from 1 species